rnacentral:rRNA from 1 species
UACGGGGGGGGGCAAGCGUUGUUCGGAAUUACUGGGCGUAAAGGGCUCGUAGGUGGCCAACUAAGUCAGACGUGAAAUCCCUCGGCUUAACCGGGGAACUGCGUCUGAUACUGGAUGGCUUGAGUUCGGGAGAGGGAUGCGGAAUUCCAGGUGUAGCGGUGAAAUGCGUAGAUAUCUGGAGGAACACCGGUGGCGAAGGCGGCAUCCUGGACCGACACUGACACUGAGGAGCGAAAGCCAGGGGAGCAAACGGG